UUAGUGUUUAUCUUUCCAAAAAUUUUCUCUACUCAAUUGAUGUCAUUUUACAUUUUGCAGUUUAGUGUUUAUCUUUCCAAAACUAACACCAAGUUGACUAUUUUAACUAUCAUAUGUGCAGUCGAAGACUCGAGGAAGCUUCUGCAGGAUAUAGUGUUUGUCAGACUGGAUAGUGGAUAAAUGUAUGAGUUGCACAGUUCUCUGUUGUCUUUAUGAUAUAUAAGUAUAUUUGUCAAAGUAAGAAGAUGGAUGGAGCUUGCUAGCAGCUUAUCACGAAGAUAGAAGAGCUUCAUAUGGACAUCAAUGUGAAUUCUAAUCUCUGCCUGCUAGCCAAAGUCCGAAAACUGUAAUCACAGUAUGAAAUAAGGAUGGAUGGAGGGGAUGAAGAAGUGAGGAGGUAGUUCUAUUUCCGCGGUUCGGCUGGGCAUGGCAUGAGGCGGUUAGAGUUGGUUCACAUAAGUUCUGAUUUGAGUCAUUAUAUUUCAUGUAAAUUAGUUAGCAUUCAAACAAUGUUUGGUUGAGAUUAAAAAGAAAAACUUCAUUGUUAACCAUCUUAUGUUGGCCCAA